AUUGAACGCUGGCGGCAGGCCUAACACAUGCAAGUCGAGCGGCAGCGGAAAGUAGCUUGCUCCUUUGCCGGCGAGCGGCGGACGGGUGAGUAAUGUCUGGGAAACUGCCUGAUGGAGGGGGAUAACUACUGGAAACGGUAGCUAAUACCGCAUAACGUCGCAAGACCAAAGAGGGGGACCUUCGGGCCUCUUGCCAUCAGAUGUGCCCAGAUGGGAUUAGCUAGUAGGUGGGGUAACGGCUCACCUAGGCGACGAUCCCUAGCUGGUCUGAGAGGAUGACCAGCCACACUGGAACUGAGACACGGUCCAGACUCCUACGGGAGGCAGCAGUGGGGAAUAUUGCACAAUGGGCGCAAGCCUGAUGCAGCCAUGCCGCGUGUAUGAAGAAGGCCUUCGGGUUGUAAAGUACUUUCAGCGGGGAGGAAGGUGUUGAGGUUAAUAACCGCAGCAAUUGACGUUACCCGCAGAAGAAGCACCGGCUAACUCCGU
rnacentral:rRNA from 1 species